UUUACCGAUGUGGUUGUCCUCGAUGUGCUCGAUGAGGUCGGCCAGGGUGGGGAAGUGGAGUCCGCAGCCCCCGAAUCGGCAGAGAUGGAGUUUUGCCAUUUGCCCAGGCUGGACUCGCAGUCCUGGACUCAACCACCUUGGCCUCCCAAAGUGCUGGGAUUACAGGGGUUCCUGUUGAGAUUAAAGUAAAUGCAUUUACCAGCAUACAUGUCAUGGAAGACUGACUCUGCACCAUGCUCUGUGACAAAAGGCUUCAAGAUUAAACCGCCCUUCUACCGUGAAGGUGAGCCGUGAAGUCUAUUGCCCAGGGAUUGGGGACGUUUGUAUUAAAGAAGGUUUUGGAGUACAGAAGCAGGAAGAUGUGUUGUGGAGAUGCUGUUGGCAGAAACAACUGGCCUUGACUAAACAAACCAAGAGUUCCUACAGGAGCAGAGGCAACCGGGUGAAGGCUGACGCCCUUGCACAGGCUUGGGCAGCUCUUCUCCACAUGUCCACGUGGCUCACUUCCUUACCUACUUCAGGGCUCUGCUCACACGUCACCUCCUCAAGAAGGCCUUCCCCAACUACCCUGUCCUCACUCCCACCCCUUACCCCUGCAUUCCCUGUCCCUCUCACUCUGCUGUGGUUUAUCCUACCUGACAUAGAACAGGUUUAUCUCCCUGUUGUCUAGCAGGCUUUUAUCCAGUUCUGCUUUGCCGGACUGUAUUAAGUAAGUCUCAGUUCCUGGGCUUUAUCACUCAGCAUGGGUGGAACACACGAAAAUGGGAUUUUCCUGUUCCCACUACAGCACUUUUCUUGUGGAUACCACAUCUCCCCAUGUGCAAUAUUCUAUUCCCAUCUCACUCUUACCUUGUGCAGAGCUAUUUUCUCAGAGCAUGAGUCUCUGAACGGAAAAUCUACUGCUUUGUGCCCUGCCUGAGGAUAAGCUUCACCAGAGCAGUCUAUAUUGUUGUUGCUGUUGUUGUUGUUUAUUGCUGUAUUCCUAGCUUCUAGAACAGUGCCUGGCAUGGCAAUCAGUGGCAUGAGUAAAUUUAUGAGUAUAUAUAAUGGACAAGUUUGGGAGAAGAUAAUUAGUUUGGAAACGGGAGAGUUUAGUGGGAGAGACAGGGCCCUGACUACCUCAAAAAGCAGCAGUACUAUAAGAGGACAGAGUUUCUAUUUUUCUGCCUGGUCUAGGACUUGUACUG
rnacentral:lncRNA from 1 species